rnacentral:rRNA from 1 species
UACGGGGGGGGCAAGCGUUGUUCGGAAUUACUGGGCGUAAAGGGCUCGUAGGUGGCCAACUAAGUCAGACGUGAAAUCCCUCGGCUUAACCGGGGAACUGCGUCUGAUACUGGAUGGCUGGAGUAUGGGAGAGGAAUGCGGAAUUCCAGGUGUAGCGGUGAAAUGCGUAGAUAUUCGGAAGAACACCAGUGGCGAAGGCGGCUCACUGGACCGGUAUUGACGCUGAGGUGCGAAAGCGUGGGGAGCAAACAGG